CUGCUGCCUUCCGUAGGAGUUUGGGCCGUGUCUCAGUCCCAAUGUGGCCGUNCCACUCNGACGUCGCUG
rnacentral:rRNA from 1 species